CAGUCGCCGCGGUAAUACGUAGGGUGCAAGCGUUAAUCGGAAUUACUGGGCGUAAAGCGUGCGCAGGCGGUUAUAUAAGACAGAUGUGAAAUCCCCGGGCUCAACCUGGGAACUGCAUUUGUGACUGUAUAGCUAGAGUACGGCGGAGGGGGAUGGAAUUCCGCGUGUAGCAGUGAAAUGCGUAGAUAUGCGGAGGAACACCGAUGGCGAAGGCAAUCCCCUGGGCCUGUACUGACGCUCAUGCACGAAAGCGUGGGGAGCAAACAGGAUUAGAUACCCCCGUAGUCCCUGUCUCUUAUAC
rnacentral:rRNA from 1 species